UAGUCACAGAAUAAGGCUGGGAGUGGCAAGGAAAAGAGGGUAGGGCACAGGUCGAUGCUCCUGGGUGUGGGCUUCCCUCCAGUGGACGGCUUGUCCCCACUAGUCCUGGGCAUCAUGGCAGUGGCCCUGGGUGCCCCAGGGCUCAUGCUGCUAGGGGGCGGCUUGGUUCUGCUGCUGCACCACAAGAAGUACUCAGAGUACCAGUCCAUAAAUUAAGGCCCGCUCUCUGGAGGGAAGGACAUUACUGAACCUGUCUUGCUGUGCCUCGAAACUCUGGAGGUUGGAGCAUCAAGUUCCAGCCGGCCCCUUCACUCCCCCAUCUUGCUUUUCUGUGGAACCUCAGAGGCCAGCGUCAACUUCCUGGAGACCCCCAGGUGGGGCUUCCUUCAUACUUUGUGGGGGGACUUUGGAGGCGGGCAGGGGACAGGGCUAUUGAUAAGGUCCCCUUGGUGUUGCCUUCUUGCAUCUCCACACAUUUCCCUUGGAUGGGACUUGCAGGCCUAAAUGAGAGGCAUUCUGACUGGUUGGCUGCCCUGGAAGGCAAGAAAAUAGAUUUAUUUUUUUUCACAGGG
rnacentral:sRNA from 1 species